rnacentral:rRNA from 1 species
CAGUCGCCGCGGGAAUACGGAGGGGGCUAGCGUUGUUCGGAAUUACUGGGCGUAAAGCGCACGUAGGCGGCUUUGUAAGUUAGAGGUGAAAGCCUGGAGCUCAACUCCAGAAUUGCCUUUAAGACUGCAUCGCUUGAACACGGGAGAGGUGAGUGGAAUUCCGAGUGUAGAGGUGAAAUUCGUAGAUAUUCGGAAGAACACCAGUGGCGAAGGCGGCUCACUGGCCCGUUGUUGACGCUGAGGUGCGAAAGCGUGGGGAGCAAACAGGAUUAGAUACCCCCGUAGUCCCUGUCUCUUAUAC